UACGUAGGGCGCAAGCGUUGUCCGGAAUUAUUGGGCGUAAAGAGCUCGUAGGCGGCUUGUCACGUCGGGUGUGAAAGCCCGGGGCUUAACCCCGGGUCUGCAUUCGAUACGGGCUAGCUAGAGUGUGGUAGGGGGGAUCGGAAUUCCUGGUGUAGCGGUGAAAUGCGCAGAUAUCAGGAGGAACACCGGUGGCGAAGGCGGAUCUCUGGGCCAUUACUGACGCUGAGGAGCGAAAGCGUGGGGAGCGAACAGG
rnacentral:rRNA from 1 species